rnacentral:rRNA from 1 species
GUGAGGAAUAUUGGUCAAUGGGCGGAAGCCUGAACCAGCCAUCCCGCGUGAAGGAAGGCGGCCCUAUGGGUUGUAAACUUCUUUAGUACAUGAAGAACAGGAUCUACGAGUAGGUUUAUGACGGUAAUGUACAAAAAAGCAUCGGCUAACUCCGUGCCAGCAGCCGCGGUAAUACGGAGGAUGCGAGCGUUAUCCGGAUUCAUUGGGUUUAAAGGGUACGUAGGUGGCCCUGUAAGUCAGUGGUGAAAAUCUGCCGCUUAACGGUAGGGGUGACGAUGAUACUGCGGAGCUUGAGUACAGUUGAGGUAGGUGGAAUGUGUAGUGUAGCGGUGAAAUGCAUAGAUAUUACACAGAACUCCGAUUGCGAAGGCAUCUUACUAAGCUGAAACUGACACUGAUGUACGAAAGCGUGGGGAUCGAACAGGAUUAGAUACCCGUGUAGUCC